GGACUGUCCAAGUGCAAUGAGAAAUCCAUGGAUUAUCACAUGUGCCAAUUAUUGACAAAGGAAGUUUUUUAAACAAUAAUAUGUUUGCUAUAAUUUCUUGUUAUGUUGAUGUGGUAUAAUAUGUCCAUUUUAAGGUUUUUAAGUUGGAGCUUGCCUUUUGAAUGUUGCCAGGAUCCUUUGGGUGCAUAAGAGGCGGGAAGCUUUUAUGGGUG
rnacentral:misc_RNA from 1 species